GCGGACGUGGUGCGCGGUGCACCGCUGCGUUCCAUUCGAAAAUUAAAUCGUUGUAACUGUAGCUGUUGGGGUUCGACUCCCCGCGUCCGCA